rnacentral:rRNA from 1 species
GACGAACGCUGGCGGCGUGCUUAACACAUGCAAGUCGAACGGAAAGGCCCUGCUUUUGUGGGGUGCUCGAGUGGCGAACGGGUGAGUAACACGUGAGUAACCUGCCCUUGACUUUGGGAUAACUUCAGGAAACUGGGGCUAAUACCGGAUAGGAGCUCCUGCUGCAUGGUGGGGGUUGGAAAGUUUCGGCGGUUGGGGAUGGACUCGCGGCUUAUCAGCUUGUUGGUGGGGUAGUGGCUUACCAAGGCUUUGACGGGUAGCCGGCCUGAGAGGGUGACCGGCAACAUCGGGCCUGAGAUACGGCCCGGACUCCCCCGGGAGGAAGCAGUGGGGAAUAUUGCACAAUGGGCGGAAGCCUGCUGCAGCAACGCCGCGUGCGGGAUGACGGCCUUCGGGUUGUAAACCGCUUUCGCCUGUGACGAAGCGUGAGUGACGGUAAUGGGAAAAGAAGCACCGGCUAACUACGU